GCGAGCCUGAUCCAGCCAUGCCGCGUGCAGGAAGACUGCCCUAUGGGUUGUAAACUGCUUUUAUACGGGAAGAAACCCAUCUACGUGUAGGUGGCUGACGGUACCGUAAGAAUAAGCAUCGGCUAACUCCGUGCCAGCAGCCGCGGUAAUACGGAGGAUGCAAGCGUUAUCCGGAAUCAUUGGGUUUAAAGGGUCCGUAGGUGGAUUGGUAAGUCAGAGGUGAAAGCCUGCAGCUCAACUGUAGAACUGCCUUUGAUACUGCUAGUCUUGAAUUAUUGUGAAGUGGUUAGAAUAUGUAGUGUAGCGGUGAAAUGCAUAGAUAUUACAUAGAAUACCAAUUGCGAAGGCAGAUCACUAACAAUAUAUUGACACUGAUGGACGAAAGCGUGGGGAGCGAACGGGAUUAGAUACCCCGGUAGUCCACGCCGUAAACGAUGGUCACUAGCUGUUCGGAUUUCGGUCUGAGUGGCUAAGCGAAAGUGAUAAGUGACCCACCUGGGGAGUACGUUCGCAAGAAUGAAACUCAA
rnacentral:rRNA from 1 species